AUAAUUACUUUGCGUAUAGGUCUUCUUUUAUUCAUUAAUUUCUUAAAGAAACGUCUCCUCUGCCUAGUACCGGUGAAUGAAACCAUUUUGUUACAGCUAAAGAGUAUAAGUACCGAAAGGGAAAAUUCUUACUAAGUACAAAGUAGUGGUAUUUUCUCGUACCUUUUGUAUCAUGGUUCUUCUAGACUAAGACUUACUACAUAAGCAAGCCCGAAAGAAGUUGAGCUAUUAUUAAACAAUAAAUCGUCAACGUAGUAAAGUUGUGAUUAGAUUUAAUAAUAGGAGUGAAACGCUUUCCGAAACUUCAGGUUGCUGGUUGACUAGUAAAUGUAUCAAAGUACAGCGUUGAAUGCUGUUUUACUCUACCACUUAAGAGUAAAAAAUAUUUAACAGUGACAUAAAAAAGGAUAAGCUUUUUUAUGCUCAGAAAAACAAAUUUUUUCUACAGUUUUAUUAAGUGGGCUUAAAAUUUGCCACCUAUAAAAGUUUACUAUAAAUUGAUUAUUUAGAACACAAUAAAGAAUACUUAGUUUUGUUUUCAUGGUAUGAAGUUUUCAUCCUACCUCUAACUGGUUUUAUUAGCCUAACUAAAUUAGCUAAUUUAUUUCUGAAGAAAUGAGUAUUUAAUAUAAAACUUUAAUAUUUGUCAAUAAAUUUAUUAAAGAAUUCAAUCUAACCGCUUCCAUAAUUAAAUUUGCUCGUAAAUAAACUAAUUUUUUAAAAGGAACUCGGCAAAACACAGCUCCGCCUGUUUAUCAAAAACAUCGCUCCUUGCGCCUGUGAUAGUUGCAUAUAAGGAGUCUGACCUGCCCAGUGACAUUUUGUUUAACGGCUGCGGUUUUACUGCAUUAAAGUAGCAUAAUAAUUUGCCUCUUAAUUGGGGGCUAGCAUGAAUGGUCUGACGAGAGCUAAGCUGUCUCUUUUUAAAAUAUCUAGAAAUUAACCUUCAGGUGAAGAGGCCUGCCUUUUGUUGAGGGACGAAAAGACCCUAUUGAGCUUGAGUGAAAAGUUAGAUCUCUAUCUAUCAAGGCAAUAUUGCUUAUUUUGCUUGUUACCAACUCUAAUCUUUAGCUGGGAUGGCUGAGGAGCACUUAAAACCUCCUUAAACUUGAAUUAAGUUUACGCACACAUGCUUAAGAUCCAGUAAUACUGAUCAACGGAAAAAGUUACCAUAGGGAUAACAGCGUAAUCUCUCCGAAGAGUUCUUAUCGAAGGAGAGGUUUGCGACCUCGAUGUUGGACUAAGGUAUCCUAAGGGUGCAGAAGCUCUUUAUGGUUGGUCUGUUCGACCAUUAAAACCUUACAUGAUCUGAGUUCAAACCGGCGUGAGCCAGGUUGGUUUCUAUCUUCAACAUAAAACAAAAUUUUUCAACUAGUACGAAAGGACCGCUGUAAAAUAAAUAAUUUAUAUGUGAUUGACAAUUAAUAACCCUUACUCAAAUAAAAUAUAUCCCACACCUCACUACGGUUAAUA
rnacentral:rRNA from 1 species